rnacentral:tRNA from 1 species
GGGCCUGUAGCUCAAUGGUAGAGCAGCGGCCUUUUAAGCCGUUGGUUGUGGGUUCGAGUCCCUCCGGGCUCACCA